rnacentral:rRNA from 1 species
GACGAACGCUGGCGGCGUGCUUAACACAUGCAAGUCGUACGGUAAGGCCCUUUCGGGGGUACACGAGUGGCGAACGGGUGGGUAACACGUGAGUAACCUGCCCACAACUUAGGGAUAACGCAAGUAAACUGGUGCUAAUACUUGCUAUGUGCUCCUGCUGCCUGGUGGGGGUUGGAAAGCUCCGGCGGUUGGGGAUGGACUCGCGGCCUAUCAGCUUGUUGGUGGGGUAGUGGCCUACCAAGGCGGCGACGGGUAGCCGGCCCGAGAGGGUGGCCGGGCACAUUGGGACUGGGAUUCGGGCCCGGCCCCCACGGGGGGCAGGAGUUGGGAAUAUUUCAAAAUGGGGGCGAGCCUGAUUCAGCCACGGCGGCUGCGGGAUGGCGGGCCUUGGGUUGUUAACCGCUUUCAGCAGGGACGGAGCUGUUAGUGACGGUACCUGCAGAAGAAGCACCGGCUAACUACGUG